CCUACGGGUGGCAGCAGUGGGGAAUAUUGCACAAUGGGGGAAACCCUGAUGCAGCGACGCCGCGUGAGUGAAGAAGUCAUUCGUUAUGUAAAGCUCUAUCAGCAGGGAAGAAAAUGACGGUACCUGAGUCAGAAGCCCCGGCUAACUACGUGCCAGCAGCCGCGGUAAUACGUAGGGGGCAAGCGUUAUCCGGAUUUACUGGGUGUAAAGGGAGCGUAGACGGCAGUGCAAGUCUGGAGUGAAAGGCGGGGGCUCAACCCCCGGACUGCUCUGGAAACUGUACGGCUGGAGUACAGGAGAGGUAAGUGGAAUUCCUAGUGUAGCGGUGAAAUGCGUAGAUAUUAGGAGGAACACCAGUGGCGAAGGCGGCUUACUGGACUGUAACUGACGUUGAGGCUCGAAAGCGUGGGGAGCAAACAGGAUUAGAUACCCGAGUAGUC
rnacentral:rRNA from 1 species